rnacentral:sRNA from 1 species
AGAAGCCGCUCUCUCUCGGCUCAGGUCGGCUGGACAGACCCGCAGGGAAUGCAGCGAACGCUGCCCUAAGCCCCCGGGCAUUGCGGCUGCUCCAUCCGCCCUACUCCUCCCAUUGCCUGGGACCUCUGCAGCGUCCCCGUAGAGCCGCGCAGGUUAGGGUGGCUGGCUCGGAAGAACAGAAACCCCUCGGCCCAACCCUCCCCUGUCCCUCAGCAUUCUAGGGCUGGGCUGUCCCGCGGCCGAGAUUCCUGGAGAGCUAGGCGGGCCAGAGCUGACCAGAUCCCCCGCGGCGGCACCGCAGCGCGAUCCAGGAGUGGCCCCGCCGGGCUACGCUGCGCGCUCUUGGAACCUGGGUCACCUUCCCCGCCGCCGGAACCGCUCUGUGCGCGCUGCCCAACGAAGGAAGGGGCUGCCCCACGCAGACCCGGCUUCUGGGGGUCCCUGGAAACCCAGGCGGCCACGGUGUGGCGGGGGAGACAUGGUCACUUUUCCUGCAGGGUGCGCCUGAGCAGAGGGGCAGCCCGUUACAGUAGGCGAGGCCAGGGCAAACCCGGGGUCACUAUCAGCGCUGCGAGACUGGUAUUCAAGGUCCUCUCAGCCGGGCCUCUCACCCACCCCACUGGCCGCAGCCGGAGGCUGCCACGCGGACACCGUCUCAAGCCUCUGAGCAUUGCUCUGAGCCUCUGCCUGCAAUGUCCUUCCUCUGUCAUCUCUAGGCCUCGGCUCAGCCCUGGACCUAGCCUUUCUGCCUCGCCCUACCCCAAGCUGGCGCCACCGCCCGUGGCUGAACUCCGACCUCCCACCGCAGGCGCCGCGGUACCCUGGCUGUGGCCCUCGGCGCUUUCUUCCUAGGGUCACAGGACCCAUACGAGUGGGAGCUCCCUGGGAGCAGAACUGCGUCUUGUAUCACCUGGCGCGGUGAACGUGGGGGUUGAAACGCUCCACGCGGAAGACUCGGAGAAGCCGCGGCUGUCCCCGGAACCCUCCGAGCGGCGCCCUCAGGCACCGGCCAAAAAGCUCCGCAAGCCGAGGACCAUCUACUCCAGCCUGCAGCUGCAGCACCUAAACCAGCGUUUCCAGCACACGCAGUACCUGGCGCUGCCCGAGAGGGCCCAGCUGGCAGCGCAGCUCGGCCUCACCCAGACCCAGGUAAAGAUCUGGUUUCAGAACAAACGCUCCAAGUAUAAGAAGCUCCUGAAGCA